rnacentral:rRNA from 1 species
UACGUAGGUGGCAAGCGUUGUCCGGAUUUACUGGGCGUAAAGAGCGCGCAGGCGGUCGGAUAAGUCGAAUGUGAAAGCCCCCGGCUCAACUGGGGAGGGUCAUUCGAUACUGAUCGACUCGAAGGCAGGAGAGGGAAGUGGAAUUCCCGGUGUAGUGGUGAAAUGCGUAGAUAUCGGGAGGAACACCAGUGGCGAAGGCGACUUCCUGGCCUGUUCUUGACGCUGAGGCGCGAAAGCUAGGGGAGCAAACGGG